rnacentral:snRNA from 1 species
CAUGCCUUCGAGGAGAUAUGA